rnacentral:lncRNA from 1 species
GUUUGGUACUUUGGUGUAUUGCUGUCAUUUUUAUGGAUUUUAUAAAUAGGUAAAAAAAUCUAGAAUUUUAAGUUUAGGCUGAAUCUAGAUAGUCAUCUUUAAUGUUUUUAUAAACUUUUUUAAAUCAACCUGGACUUUCAUAAAACUAUACAGCCUUUUCAUUUAUAUAUUGAACUUACAGAAUGCCACGUUGAUUGGUAGUUUGGUGUAUGUCUGUCAUU